GCAUAUACCUAUUAAAAUUAGGGCUUCCCUGAUAUACGAGCUUCUGCUUUCCUUCCAAUACCGCAGCUUUAAAAUUCUCCUGAAAAUCAGCCUCCUUCCUUUCUUUUCUUUUAUUCUGCUCUUUUCCCAAAACAGUCAUACCUUCCAUAUUAGCCAAGGUACCAAAUCUAGACCCUGAUUUCCCUUUCUCCUUAGUAUCCGUUUUGAUUGGAAUAGUAUUCCGAGAAUUUCAUCGAUUUUCCUUUCGACAGCCAUCCAUGGACCGUACGCCACCGAUUCACCUCCUUCCCCCUUCUCCAUUGAUGUGUUGUUCCCUUGAAUCUUCUCCAAGCCAGAAAUCAGUUUCAUCGAAACACAUAGCUCCUUUGUAUGGCCAUACUCUCCGCAGGUGAAACAAAUGGUCGGUAAAGCUUCAUAUUCAACCCUCUGAUUUCUACCAUUAACAAGAACUUGAGCAAUCAAAGGUUUGUCCAAAUUAAUAUAAACUACCAUUCUAGCGAACCUGCCUCUAGUCCUGCUAUCAAUAUUAAAGUCCAGUCGAACUACCUUCCCAAUGGUACCUCCAAUUUCGUCAAUAAUUUUUCUCUUGUAUAAAAAAACAAGGAGACCUGAUAACCUUAUUAAUACCAAAACAAUGCUUGGGUAAGAUUGAGAGGGAUUAAAAUCUUUUGUCCAAGGUUGAACUGUCAAGUAUUGGCCAUAAAUCAUCCAAAGACCUUGGGACAGAGCUUUGGUAUAAUCAUCAAUAGAUUGAAAUUUUACCAGAUAAUAUCAGUUCUCAAUAUCCAUAAGAUGGAAUGGCUUGAUAGGGUUCUAAAGACUGCUAAUUAGGUUAUUAAGGACCCCAUAUCCAAUGUUUCUCCCAAGUAAUUUAAUUACUACUUUAAGUUCCAUUUCUUUGAAGAGGGUUUUUUAAAUCCUCUCAGAAAAAUCAAUGGCAGGAAUACCAUUGACAAUAGAUCUGCGAAUGUCUCCUUCAAAAAAAUCUAAGUCAUCAUCAGUGUCGACAUUAGGAGAAUCCAUCUUUACUUUAUCAAUCGCUCCAAGAUUACCCCCCAGAAGUUUGUCAUUCCAAGAUAUCAUUAGCUCGAACCAGAGUCCACCACCAUAUCAGUAUCUUGCUCAUCAAUUCUUUCUUUGAAUCGAACUUUCUUGGUUAUAUGGUCGGCAUAUGACCGAGCCUCAUCUCCAUCACCUAUAACCAGAUGAGAAGAAAUGUUACUAGAGUUCAGAGAGACUUCUUCCAUAGCCUUUACUAGGAAAUUGUUUUAAACGAUCAAACUAUUUAUUUAAUUAUAAUUAUAAUUAUUUCAAUCAUUUCCUUUCAUUUUCAUAGUAUAACCAAACAAAAAUGGUUAAAUUCUGUUUCUUUUUCUUUCAUUUGCAUUAUUAAUUUUAAUAAUCCAAACUUAACCUUCUUUUCUUUUACUUUCAUUUUCUUUCUUUUCCUUCACAAUUAUUAAUUCAAAAGUGUAAAGUCAAUAUUGUAGGUUGAUUACUUAACAUGUUCAGUAUGAUCAUUAACGUUAUGUUUGAUUAAUCGAAGAAUUAAUUACCUUAAGCUCGUAAUUAAAGAUGUUAUUAUCGUAAACUAACAACUAAUAUAUAUACAUAUAUAUUUUUAUCAUUCUCAAUUUAUUUCUCUCGUCCACUGCACAUAUUCCCCAAUGGUUUAAUUUAUUUAUCCUACCCAAUGUGUAAAUUUCUCAUCGAAGUAACUCACCUUUGCAUCUGAUUUGUCAAUGAUGGGCCAAAAGCUAGGCUUGGUUCGCUUUGGCUAUGUUGAAAAUUAGCCUACCAUGCUGCUGUGAUAUUUUUGGCUAAAAUGCAUACAGCACAUGAAGCUACUGUAAUAUCUCCGGAUGAAGUAGCACAAAUGUUACAAGGCUGUUUAGCUGUAAUAUCUCCGGAUGAAAUAAGUGAUUUUUGAUUUUUUUUUAUUUUUUUUAGGUGCUGAUAAUGUAAUCAGAUUUUGUGCAAGUUAACUUUUUAUAGUCCCAAUGCUGACUAGUUUAGGCGGCUUGUUUAUGUGUACAAGCAAUGUUUUUAAAGUUACUAGGCUGCUUCUGAUAGUAGGUAGAAAUAAGUGAUGUAGUUGGCUAUAAAUGUAAUGUUUUUCUUAUUGAAAAAUUAAGCAUAACGAAGCAUAUCAGAUUGCUUCCUUGCUGCACGUUUGUGAGCAAGUAAAUUUUUUCUUACUUUCUUGUUUUGUGUCCUAUAUUUCCUCCUCUACUCAGUUUUCUUUUUUUUUUUUGUUGCUGUCAAAAUCCCAACAUGGUAUCGAGAGCUUUUAUGAUCUUUGAGGGUCUUUGGAAUUUUUGCUUCUGCUGUUAGAAAGGCAAUGAGCCGUUAAAGUCUGUCACUUUUGUUUCUGCUUCUACUAUUUUUUAUGAAAGACAAGAAGCUGUUAAAGCCUGUCAUCUUUGAAGGCUGCUUGUAGAGAAGACAGCAAUAGCUCAACCCUAUGAUACUCCCAAGCAAGUUUGAAUAAGCUGAAUGAGGAGUUUCAAGGAAAGUAUGUGAGCUCAGCAAAAAUGUGCAAGCUGCAAGCUCAGCGAGUAGUAAAGUUGCUAGCUUGUUGCACAGUAAGCAAAGUGCGAGCCUGUCAAAGUGAGAGCCUGUCGAAUUGCAAGGCGAAGAGGAGGACGGUCUAAAUGCAAGCUCGAGAGGUGCAAGCCAAAAAUGGCAGACUGAAGGCAAGCAAACUAUACUUGUAAGUUGUUUAUGCAAGAAGAAGUAGGACUGUAAUUAGGACUGUAAUGAACAAGAGAACAAGGCAAGAUGUGUUGUCAACUAAGGCUGUGAAGGAGGAGAAGACUCCAUUUGCCAAGCAUGGAGUCCAAGGAGGAGUGUUGAAAAUUGGCCUACCAUGCUGCUGUGAUAUUUUUGGUUAAAGUGCAUGCAGCACAUGAAGCUGCUGUAAUAUCUUCGGAUGAAGUAGCACAAAUGUUACAAGGCUGUUUAGCUGCAAUAUCUCCUGAUAAAGCUAGGCUAUGGUAGGAGGCUUGCUUACGAUGAUGAUUCCCAAAGCAAAAGCUAUGUCGAGGUAGUCUAGAUUGGCUUACGGAUAUUUGGUUUUGGAUCACAUUGGAUACUUGGUUAAAAAGGUAAAGUCUUUUUUUUUCUUUUGAAGGUAAAAGGGUAAAGUCUUAUCUUUUGGAUUUUUCAGGUAAAUUAUAAGAAUAGUCACUCAAUUAUGCAUUUGGUUUUAUUUUAGUUACCUAAUUGUUAAUUAUUUUUAUUCAAUCACUCAACUUUUUAAAAUUAAA